CCUACGGGAGGCAGCAGUGGGGAAUAUUGCGCAAUGGGCGAAAGCCUGACGCAGCGACGUCGCGUGAGGGAUGAAGGUCUUCGGAUCGUUAACCUCUGUCAGCAGGGAAGAACGGUCACUGUGCUAAUCAGCAGUGAAUUGACGGUACCUGCAAAGGAAGCACCGGCUAACUCCGUGCCAGCAGCCGCGGUAAUACGGAGGGUGCGAGCGUUAAUCGGAAUUACUGGGCGUAAAGCGCUCGUAGGCGGUAUGUCAUGUUAAGGGUGAAAUCCCCGCGCUCAACGUGGGAACUGCCUUUGAAACUGGCAAACUGGAGUGUGUGAGAGGAUAGUGGAAUUCCAGGUGUAGGAGUGAAAUCCGUAGAUAUCUGGAGGAACAUCAGUGGCGAAGGCGACUAUCUGGCACAUAACUGACGCUGAGGAGCGAAAGCGUGGGUAGCAAACAGGAUUAGAUACCCCAGUAGUC
rnacentral:rRNA from 1 species